GAUGAACGCUGGCGGCGUGCUUAACACAUGCAAGUCGAACGGUGAACACGGAGCUUGCUCUGUGGGAUCAGUGGCGAACGGGUGAGUAACACGUGAGCAACCUGCCCCUGACUCUGGGAUAAGCGCUGGAAACGGCGUCUAAUACUGGAUAUGUGACGUGACCGCAUGGUCUGCGUUUGGAAAGAUUUUUCGGUUGGGGAUGGGCUCGCGGCUUAUCAGCUUGUUGGUGAGGUAAUGGCUCACCAAGGCGUCGACGGGUAGCCGGCCUGAGAGGGUGACCGGCCACACUGGGAUUGAGACACGGCCCAGACUCCUACGGGAGGCAGCAGUGGGGAAUAUUGCACAAUGGGCGAAAGCCUGAUGCAGCAACGCCGCGUGAGGGAUGACGGCCUUCGGGUUGUAAACCUUUUUUAGCAGGGAAGAAGCGAAAGUGACGGUACCUGCAGAAAAAGCGCCGGCUAACUACGUG
rnacentral:rRNA from 1 species